ensembl:rRNA 5S_rRNA 5S ribosomal RNA
GUCCAUGGCCAUACCGCCCUGAACACACCCUAUCCUGUCUGAUCUUGGAAGCUAAGCAGGGCUGGGCCUGGUUAGUACUUGGAUGGGAGAGUGUCUUGCCCAGCGGAUUUAUGGAAACCGGUAGCACUGGUGU